UUAAGCGACUAAGCGUACACGGUGGAUGCCCUGGCAGUCAGAGGCGAUGAAGGACGUGCUAAUCUGCGAUAAGCGUCGGUAAGGUGAUAUGAACCGUUAUAACCGGCGAUUUCCGAAUGGGGAAACCCAGUGUGAUUCGUCACACUAUCAUUAACUGAAUCCAUAGGUUAAUGAGGCGAACCGGGGGAACUGAAACAUCUAAGUACCCCGAGGAAAAGAAAUCAACCGAGAUUCCCCCAGUAGCGGCGAGCGAACGGGGAGGAGCCCAGAGCCUGAAUCAGUGUGUGUGUUAGUGGAAGCGUCUGGAAAGGCGCGCGAUACAGGGUGACAGCCCCGUACACAAAAAUGCACAUGCUGUGAGCUCGAUGAGUAGGGCGGGACACGUGGUAUCCUGUCUGAAUAUGGGGGGACCAUCCUCCAAGGCUAAAUACUCCUGACUGACCGAUAGUGAACCAGUACCGUGAGGGAAAGGCGAAAAGAACCCCGGCGAGGGGAGUGAAAAAGAACCUGAAACCGUGUACGUACAAGCAGUGGGAGCACAGAGCAAUCUGUGUGACUGCGUACCUUUUGUAUAAUGGGUCAGCGACUUAUAUUCUGUAGCAAGGUUAACCGAAUAGGGGAGCCGAAGGGAAACCGAGUCUUAACUGGGCGUUAAGUUGCAGGGUAUAGACCCGAAACCCGGUGAUCUAGCCAUGGGCAGGUUGAAGGUUGGGUAACACUAACUGGAGGACCGAACCGACUAAUGUUGAAAAAUUAGCGGAUGACUUGUGGCUGGGGGUGAAAGGCCAAUCAAACCGGGAGAUAGCUGGUUCUCCCCGAAAGCUAUUUAGGUAGCGCCUCGUGAAUUCAUCUCCGGGGGUAGAGCACUGUUUCGGCAAGGGGGUCAUCCCGACUUACCAACCCGAUGCAAACUGCGAAUACCGGAGAAUGUUAUCACGGGAGACACACGGCGGGUGCUAACGUCCGUCGUGAAGAGGGAAACAACCCAGACCGCCAGCUAAGGUCCCAAAGUCAUGGUUAAGUGGGAAACGAUGUGGGAAGGCCCAGACAGCCAGGAUGUUGGCUUAGAAGCAGCCAUCAUUUAAAGAAAGCGUAAUAGCUCACUGGUCGAGUCGGCCUGCGCGGAAGAUGUAACGGGGCUAAACCAUGCACCGAAGCUGCGGCAGCGACGCUGAUGCGUUGUUGGGUAGGGGAGCGUUCUGUAAGCCUGUGAAGGUGUGCUGUGAGGCAUGCUGGAGGUAUCAGAAGUGCGAAUGCUGACAUAAGUAACGAUAAAGCGGGUGAAAAGCCCGCUCGCCGGAAGACCAAGGGUUCCUGUCCAACGUUAAUCGGGGCAGGGUGAGUCGACCCCUAAGGCGAGGCCGAAAGGCGUAGUCGAUGGGAAACAGGUUAAUAUUCCUGUACUUGGUGUUACUGCGAAGGGGGGACGGAGAAGGCUAUGUUGGCCGGGCGACGGUUGUCCCGGUUUAAGCGUGUAGGCUGGUUUUCCAGGCAAAUCCGGAAAACUAAGACUGAGGCGUGAUGACGAGGCACUACGGUGCUGAAGCAACAAAUGCCCUGCUUCCAGGAAAAGCCUCUAAGCAUCAGGUAACAUCAAAUCGUACCCCAAACCGACACAGGUGGUCAGGUAGAGAAUACCAAGGCGCUUGAGAGAACUCGGGUGAAGGAACUAGGCAAAAUGGUGCCGUAACUUCGGGAGAAGGCACGCUGAUAUGUAGGUGAAGUCCCUCGCGGAUGGAGCUGAAAUCAGUCGAAGAUACCAGCUGGCUGCAACUGUUUAUUAAAAACACAGCACUGUGCAAACACGAAAGUGGACGUAUACGGUGUGACGCCUGCCCGGUGCCGGAAGGUUAAUUGAUGGGGUCAGCGCAAGCGAAGCUCUUGAUCGAAGCCCCGGUAAACGGCGGCCGUAACUAUAACGGUCCUAAGGUAGCGAAAUUCCUUGUCGGGUAAGUUCCGACCUGCACGAAUGGCGUAAUGAUGGCCAGGCUGUCUCCACCCGAGACUCAGUGAAAUUGAACUCGCUGUGAAGAUGCAGUGUACCCGCGGCAAGACGGAAAGACCCCGUGAACCUUUACUAUAGCUUGACACUGAACAUUGAGCCUUGAUGUGUAGGAUAGGUGGGAGGCUUUGAAGUGUGGACGCCAGUCUGCAUGGAGCCGACCUUGAAAUACCACCCUUUAAUGUUUGAUGUUCUAACGUUGACCCGUAAUCCGGGUUGCGGACAGUGUCUGGUGGGUAGUUUGACUGGGGCGGUCUCCUCCUAAAGAGUAACGGAGGAGCACGAAGGUUGGCUAAUCCUGGUCGGACAUCAGGAGGUUAGUGCAAUGGCAUAAGCCAGCUUGACUGCGAGCGUGACGGCGCGAGCAGGUGCGAAAGCAGGUCAUAGUGAUCCGGUGGUUCUGAAUGGAAGGGCCAUCGCUCAACGGAUAAAAGGUACUCCGGGGAUAACAGGCUGAUACCGCCCAAGAGUUCAUAUCGACGGCGGUGUUUGGCACCUCGAUGUCGGCUCAUCACAUCCUGGGGCUGAAGUAGGUCCCAAGGGUAUGGCUGUUCGCCAUUUAAAGUGGUACGCGAGCUGGGUUUAGAACGUCGUGAGACAGUUCGGUCCCUAUCUGCCGUGGGCGCUGGAGAACUGAGGGGGGCUGCUCCUAGUACGAGAGGACCGGAGUGGACGCAUCACUGGUGUUCGGGUUGUCAUGCCAAUGGCACUGCCCGGUAGCUAAAUGCGGAAGAGAUAAGUGCUGAAAGCAUCUAAGCACGAAACUUGCCCCGAGAUGAGUUCUCCCUGACUCCUUGAGAGUCCUGAAGGAACGUUGAAGACGACGACGUUGAUAGGCCGGAUGUGUAAGCGCAGCGAUGCGUUGAGCUAACCGGUACUAAUGAACCGUGAGGCUUAACCUU
rnacentral:rRNA from 1 species